ACCGCGGCGCUGGGGGUUCCUCCCGGCGAGACUGGCGGGGCUGCGGCGGCUAGGAGAGUGAUGCCAUGGAGCACAGUGGUGGAUAAGGAAGACAUGGUCUGGCCGUAACAAUUUUGAAAUCUAAUGAAGCAGAUUAAAAAGAUAAGUACUUACAAUAAAAGUGUGGAAAUUCUAACAAUAGGGGAAGUAUAGGGCAGUAUGUGAUCACUUGGCAGCCAAACUUCUUGCUUCCUAUGUAAGACUCUCACAGUCAGACUGGAGCUGCACAUCUCUGCCGCUGCACAACACAUGGAGAAUAGUCUGCUGUAUCCUAGCCUUGCCAAGCCCUUUCAGGACCCCAUGUCUUUACUGGAUUGCCUGUCCACUUCCCCACGCCCCCGACCCUCAUCCCCGCAUAUUAUUUUGUAACAUAUUUCUUCAUGGUAUCCCAGCUUUAAAGUCUUCAAUGAAACCUUUUAAACUCCUACAGUUAUUGUAUAUGUUGUGUUUCCACAUUUCUUUAUUUAGAUGCCUCUAAUAGCAAGAAAAGUUAUAUUGUAGUUUAUUAACUUAUUUACUGCAUCUCUCAAUAUCCUGAGCUCCUAAAGGAACUCCUGAAAGUUCCUCAGCACUUAGCGUGACAACUAGUACAUAGUACCUGCUGUAUUCUAUAAAUGUCCUUUAUGUGAGUAAGUCAGUGUAAAUGUUUUGGUGCAGCAUUAUACUUUGGUAAAAUAGUACUAUGUUAAUAUUACUAACAUUUACAUUUAUUCCUAAGAAAGGAAACCAUAAGAAUAAUUCAUGGUUAUAUUUUCUAGAGACUAGGCUUGUUUCGUCCAGUAUGGUACUCAAUAGCCAUAUAAAGCUAUUUACAUUUAAAUUAAUUAAGAUUAAAUACAAUUGAUAAUGUGGUCCUUCAGUUGCACUAGCCACAUUUCAGAUUCUCAGUAGUCACAUGUGCCUCAUGGCUAUCAUAUGGGAUAGUUUAGAAAAACAUCUUCGUCUUCACAGAAAGUUUUAUUGUACAGCUCUGGUCUAGACCUUUGAUGGGAUGCACAUUUGUUCAGACUCUGAGAUCAUAUAACUUAAAUAUCUCCACCUAGCAACCAUAUACUCUAACUACAUUUUCAGUUAUUUUGAAUGGGUAAUAAGCAUUUGAAUGGAGGAUAUUUCAGUGUUGGCUGAUAUCUGAUAUUAAGUAGAGCUUUAAUCAAUACAGUGCAUGCCUAGAAUAAUGGUAAGAAUCCCAAGUGGCUAUUUAAUAACAGAUGAGAGAUUCUUUUGAAGAGCAAGCUUUGUGUAGACUUGGGAAAUAGAAUUUCCAUUCUCUACAAAAUAUUGUAAUAGUUGUGUUUGUGUCUACAAACUUAAGUUGAAUUUUGAUAUGUAGAUGAUGGGGGAGGAUUGAUGGUGUCUUCAGCUGCACUCUGUACAUGAUUUGUGACACUAUCCUUAGACUCACUUUAAAAUAUGAAGGGCAAUAAAAUAUUGCCACAUUUAUAAUUUGAAUUGAUGGCUACCCUGAUAGCAUAUCAAGUGUGAUCUGGUAAAGUUCCUCCAUGAUAAAUUUUAAAAAAAUAAAAUUUGAAGCAUUUUUUCCUUGUCUGUCAAGAAAAUACAACUGUAAACUUUGAAAUACUUUUCCUGGUUCAACUAGGAAAAUAAAACUAAGUAACUACAAUUGGGUAUUGUCAAGCAAAUCAGUAUUCACUGUUUGUCACAUAGGGAAAUUACCAAGACAUAGUGUUAAUUGUGUCACUGACAUUAUCCUAUUGUAAUGAAGGAUUUAAAAAUUAUUUUAAUCCCAUAAUCAAAAAUGGUAGUGAACAUCCAAACAUAGCAAAUAUUAGUGCCUUAGGAAAACACUAUGAUUCAUGAGUAGAAGGAGAGGAAAAAGACCACUGAAAAAGAGGAAAGUAAUUAGAGCAGCAAAAAAUUAUAGACGAAGGAUAGUUAACAAUAACUCUACAGAGUUAAGGACAAGGAAAAUAAUGCAGAACCACUGGCUAUUACAGCAAAAAGGCUAUGCCUUUUACUUUAUUUAUUUAUUUAUUUAUUUUUAAAAAUAGAGAUGAGAUCUUGCUCUGUUGCCCAGGCUGGUUUCAAACUCCUGGCCUCAAGUGAUUCUCCCACCUUGGCCUCCUUAAGUUCUGAUUUUACAGGUGUGAGCCAUCGUGCCCAGCCAGGCUGUGACUUUUAACAGGGGAUUGUUUCUUUUUUUCCUGCCAUGGUUGCAAUAGAAGUCAGAUUGUAAGAGCAUAAAGAAGCCAUAUUAGUGUGGAGACAAAAGUGACUCCACCUUAAAUGCUAAUCUGCUAUAAUGAUUUUUGAGUAUCCUCAGUCCCAUGAAUGCCUCCUGAUUCCUACUUUAUUUACUGUCCCUAGAGAAAGAACAUGUCAAUCUUGAUGUUAUCCCACAGUUUACAGACUAUGAUGAAUAUAUAGCAUUGUUGCCUGUUCUGGAGGAUUGCCUUUAAUUAUCUUGCAUAGAGAGCACUUAUACCCUUUCACUGUAGUAUAUAAGCUCUGGGUUGGGAGGUAACAGGUUUAGAGAUCUACCUGUCUUGCUGCUGCCCAAGACCACACUUCCGUCUGUAAGUUACCUCCAUCACUGACAAACUGGAUUUUUCUACCUCAUUCUUUGAUUUCUCAGCUCCUCUGGCAUUUGGGGGGAACUUUGCAUAUAUGGUGGCCCUUUCACAGAACAGUCAGCAUUCUCCAGAGUAACAGAGAGAUUAUAGUAAUUGGCCCAUGUGAUUAUGGAGGCUGAGAAGUCCCAUGAUCUGCAAGCUGGAGAACCAUAGAAGUUGGUGGUGUAGUUCAGUCUGAGUUUGAAGGUCUGUGAACCAGGAGUGCUGAUGUCCGAGAGGAGGAGAAGAUGGCUGUUCAGCUCAAGCAGAAAGCUAAUUCACUGUUCUCUGCCUCUUUGUUUCAUUCAAGCCCUCAAGGGAUGGUAUAAUGCCUACCCAAAUGGGUGAGAGCGUCUUUUUUACUCAGUCUACCAAUUCAGAUACAAGUCUCUUCUGUAAACACCUUCACAGACAUACCCAGAAAUAAUGUUUUACCAGAUAUUUGGGCAUCCUUUAGCCCAGUCAAACUGACACAUAAAAUUAACUGUCAUAGAAGGACUACCUCGUUAGCAACUAAGAACAAUGGGACUUAGAACAAAGACCUCAUCAGGUAUUAAAUUGGAAGAAGAUACAUUAAUGAAAAGAAAUGUUAUGGUACUGUUGAAGAUGGAGGCAGCAAGACCCUCCGAGGCUAUAGAAAAAAUAGCGUAAUAAACCCAGAAAGGCUCUUCAAGAUAUCUAUGUUAGUGUUCUACCUAACACAGCAAUAAUUUCUUUGCAAAGCCCCUGGCAGAUUAUUUAGUUUUGCUUGGAUCCUUAAGGUGAUGAAGUGUUCCCUUUUUAGCAAGGUAAAUGAAUCUGUUUUUGGACAGAUGUAACUCUUAGAAAUUUCUUCCUUGUACUGCUAAAGCAAGGUCUGUUUCCCUGUAGCUUCCAUAUGGUUUCCUUAAGUGAUAAACAGACUGACUGUAAUAUAUCUUUCCUAUGACAGCCCUCCAAAUAUCUGAAGUAUGUCCCUCCUGUUUUCUUUUUUUAAGUUAAGCAUCCCAGAUACUUCAAUUUAUAUCUCCUCACAAGAUUGCCAGACCUCUUAAUAUUUUGGCUGCCCAAUCAGAAUAAAGUUGUUGAACUCUAGUUUGCCAGUGUCAAUUUUAAAAAGUAAUGUCCAGAAGGAAUUUUGUAUUUUGCAUGUAGUCUGACUGGAACAGAUAAGAGACAGUGAAAUUAAUUUUGUUAGAUAUUUUACACUUGUUAAUUGGACUCUUGGCCUAAACUGAACUGUAAUGAAUGUACCUGUCUGGUAUUUAUCUAAAUUGCCAUCAAACCAGGUUUAGUCUAUUCUGUAGCUGAAAAAAUUAAUUUUAUUUGAUAAAUUUUACCUUGUUCGUUUUGAUCCAUUCAUUCAUUUAUUCAUUCAUUGUUUCAACAAAUACUUUUUGAGGUCAGCAUUGUGGCAGUCUUCGUUAUGCCCUGAGAUUACCAGAAAGUACAGGUUAUUCCAAUUAGUUGAACAACUUGAGAUCAUUUUAAAAUGUAAAUCUAAUAUUCAACAUUGUUAUUUUUACAUCACCUGUCAUCUAUAAAUUUCAUAAACAUGAUUGUAUCUUUAUUCAGUUAAUAACAAGAUUAAAAAAUCAAGGACAUAUUGUGAUAAGCUGGUGAUUUUGAAUCAUCAGGAUUCUAGAUUUAAAAGUUUUUGGAGACAGAACAUUUAACGGUGUGAUUUAUUUAUUUUAUAGAAGAGAGUUAAUAUAUAACUUAGAGUUUGAUUGUCUUAAAUACCGUAUUUCUCUUUUUGUCCCAGGGGAAGAUCACAGAAUGCUGCCUUGCUUGUGGAAUUAUAGAAUUCAAAUCUAUCAGUUUUAUAGGGAGUAAUUUUUCAAGACUUACUCUUAAGGAAUUCAUACUGAUUCCUAAUAAUCAUCAUUUUCUUAAUCUAAAUCCUACAAAGCCAUUCAUUUAAUCAUUUGUUUUAGAAUGUUUCCUGCUUUCCUGUAUGUUUCUUUUUCUUCUUACUUUAAAGCAAGGUUUAAACAUCCCUUUUGAUAUUUUUAGGUUUUGUCGGGGUGUAGGGAGCAAGGUUAUUCUCACUGUGACCUUUGCCCUGCAGCAGUAAAGCAAUAACUAGCAUCAUUUCUGCUUUGUAUUGUUUUAUCAUUUCUACAUCAUGUUUGUAGGCUGACGAAUGAAGUCAAAUGCUUAUAAAUGCUUUGUAAACUAUAAAAUUCUCCAUUUAUAUAUAUUUCUGCCCCACUUAUUUCUCAUUAAUGUUACUUGUGAUUAUAUUGUCAGAAUUCCUUAGAGCCACAUUUUUGUGAAUAUUGUGCUGCAAAUAUAUUUAUUUGUUUGUAAGCACUAAGUAUUCUUUUGUUCCCAAGAAAACAAAUUCUAUAUGAGUCUUUUCUGGUUCUGUUUUUCUUUUGUUUCAAUCUCUUCACAAUAUUGUAUUUAGAGCCAGAUUUAUCAGCCCCAGGCAUCUCUUGCUUUCCUGUGUCUACUUCUUCACAGUAUAACUCUCAGGCAAAAUGACAAAAAGGCAAAUUCACAAAGGAACCAGUGAGUGUUCUUGUCAGUGCUUGGGUUCCAUUCUCAAAUAAGCUGAAAGUUCUUCUAUUUCAUCAACAGAAUGUGAUUUAAAGGGAUAUAUUGCCAGCUUGUAUCACUGCUAAACAGUGGUGUGUCACUGUAGAGCAAAUAGUCACAAGAAUACAUUCUCAGGAAAUAUACAGUUAUAUCUAUGCUUUCUGCCAAGCAAGGAGAAACGCAGACUGGCUCAAAUCUCCAGAAACGACUUGCAUCCUUCUUUAUUUCUUACACCUUUUCUUUUCUUCAUCUCCUAUUUCUUCUUUCCCCAUGUCCUCCUCCUGCUUUCACAAUUUCCUUCUCCUCCUUAUUCUCCUUCUCUUUCACCUCCCCGUCUUCUUCCUUACGCGUUGAUUAUGCCAGUAAGAUGAUAUCUUGUAAAGAAAUGGAAUACUUUUAGCAGAUGCCACACUAUAGCCACAGUAGUGACAUCUGGAAUUUGUCAAAAGCCACAGUUGGCAUCCCUAAAAUUCACCUGCCUGGAUUCUGUUCUGAGAAGAUUGUGUCUGCAAGAAAGUCUGGCCAAGUUCCUAAAAGAGGCAAAAUCAAGGAUAGAUGGCAUCUAUCCUAGUUCACGUGAAGGUUAAAAGCGUCUUCAGAUCCCCUGAAAGAUUUUGGAGAAUUUCCUGAUUGGCACUUUGAAAACUGCUGCUGUAACCAAUUCUGUGAUGACUGCUGACUUGAUGUAAGGUGAAUGCAGAAAGUCUCCUGCUAGGACUCUCCCUGGCAUUGCCUCAUUCACAAAAAAUUUCAGACACUAUAUAUAUCAAUUCAGAUAAUUCAUUCAGUUAAAUGUUUAUUAAAUAUAUUUUCAAAUUGUUUAUUGAUAUAUAAUUAUUCUAUCAAGGACACAUAUAAAAUAAUUAGGUAUAGAAAAAUAUAAGAAAGAAAAGGAAAUCAAGAUUAGGAAAAAAUAACAAUGCAGAUAUUCAGACCAUAUAGUACUAUAAAGUUGGCUCAUUAUUUUGCUAAUGUGUUUACUGAGCACCUGUUCUAGACAUAGGAAAUGCAUGGAUGACUACAAUUGCCCCAGUUGUUAUCUCAUUGAGGUUACAUUAUAUUGUACUUGUAAAAUAUGCACCCCCACUCAUGGCUUUAGGCAAUACAAAUGAACAAAAACAAAAACCAGCCAAACAAAUAUAUCAGUUAAAAGAUCAUUGACCAAAAUGUUAAAUGGAGUACUCUGAGGAAGCAAAGAGUUUUGGAGAUAUGCAAAAUAAUUUUCUUAUAGUACAUUUCCUAAUUGACUUUAUAAAGCUGUUUCUUAUAGUCUUCAUUAAUGAAAGUUAAAGAGGCAUGAGAACAAAGUGCUGCUGAGAAUAUUAUAUCAGUUAACUUUUGCGAAAACAAAAGUAUAAUCCAUUUGUUGCCAAUAUUAUCAGACUGUGAUUCUAAAGUGAAACUACCUUUCUUUUUUACGUCCAUGUUUUCAUAGUAUAAGCCCCUCCUGGUCCAUUAAAAAUGUAGUACUGCCAACCUAAAGUUAGUACCAGGGCUUCACCUUAUACCAAGAGAGCUGAGAAAUGUUGGGGAGCACAGAUCAUUUGAUGCAUAGUGAAUACCUGAUAUAGCUGGUAGUUUGAAGUAGUAGCUCCUUAGAUGAUUUUUUUUUCCAGAAGGGGUAAGAAUGUUAUGUGUUAUAGAUGGAAUUCUGUCCUUCCAAAUGUAUAUGCUGAAGUCCUAACUCCCUGUACCUUAAAAUGUGACUGUAUUUGUAGAUAGCGUUUUUAAACAGUAAGUAGGUUAAAAUGAGGUCAUUAGGGUACUCUAAUCCAAUAUGCCUGUUGUCCUUAUAAAAAGGUGUGCUUAAGACACAGACACCUACAGAAGGAAGACCAUGUGAAAAUACAGGGAGAAGAAAGCUAUCUGUAAGCCAAGAAGUGAGUAAGGCCUCAGAAGAAAGCAAAGCCUGCCAACACCUGGAUCUUGGAUUCUGGCCUCCAGAAUCAUAAGAAAAUACGUUUCUGUUGUUUAAGCUACUUGGUCUGUGGUACUUGGUUACAGUAGCCCUAGCAAACUCAUAUGAUUCUGUGAUGAGGGGAAAGAACUGUUGAAAGGUGAGCAAUCAAAGAUACAAGGAAAAGGAAAAGGGAGGUGGAGGAGUGGUGGGGAUCAGAGCAAGAAAAUAUCGGGGCAGAAAAGUAUGGGGCAAAGUCAUAGAUAGGUGGUGUGUGUAUUAGUCGAUUCUUGCAUUGAUAUAAAGAACUGCUUGAGACUGAGUAAUUUAUAAAGAAAAGAGAUUUAAUUGGUCAGAGUUUUGCAGGCUGUACAGAAAGCAUGGCUUGAGAGGCCUCAGGAAACUUACAAGCAUGGCAGAGGUGAAGAGGAAGGAGGCCCAUCUCACAUGGCUAAAGCAGGGGGAAGAAAGAGGGAAAGGGGAGGUGCUAUGGACUUUUAAACAACCAGGUCUCUUGAGAACUUACUCACUACCACAAGAGUAUAAAGGGGGAAAUCUUCCUCCAUGAUCCAGUCACCUCCCACCAGGCCCCACCUCCAACACUGGGGAUUACAAUUCAACAUGAGAUUUGGGUGGGGACAAAAAUCCAAACCAUAUUAUUCCACCCCGGCCCCUCCCAAAUCCCUUGUCCUUCUCACAUUGCAAAAUACAAUCCUCCCUUCUCAACAGUCCCCUAAGUCUUAAUUCAUUUCAGCAUUAACUCAAAAGUCCACAAUCCAAAGUCUCAUCUGAGACAAGGCAUUCCCUUCUGUCUAUGAUCCUGUAAAAUUGAAAGCGAGUUAGUUACUUCCAGGACACAAUGGGAGUACAGGCAUUGGGUAUAUAUACCCACUCCAAGAGGGAGAAAUCAGCCAAAACGAAGGCACUACAGGCCCCAUGCAAGUCCAAUACCCAGAAGGGCAGUCAUUAAAUCUUAAAGCUCCGAAAUAAUCUCCUUUGGCUCCAUAUCUCACAUCCAGGCCACACUGAUACAAGGGGUGGACUCCCAAGGCCUUGGACAUCUCCACCUCUGUAGCUUUGCUGGGUACAGUCCCCUCAGCUGCUUUUACAGGAUGGUGUUGAGUGCCUGUGGCUUUUCCAGGCACAUAGUACAAGCUGUUGGUGGAUAUACCAUUCUGGGGUCUGGAGGACGGUGGCCCUCUUCUCACAGCUCCACUAGGCAGUGCCCAGUGGAGACUUUUGUGUGGGGCCUCCAACGCUACAUUUCUCCUCUGCACUGCUGUAGUAGAGAUUCUCCAUGAGGGUUCCAUCCAGGCAGCAGACUUCUGCCUGGAUAUUGAGGUGUUUUCAUAUAUUCUAUGAAAUCUGGGCAGAGGCUCCAAAGCCUUAACUCUUACCCUCUGUGCACCCACAGUCUUAGCACCACAUGGAAGCCACCAAGGCUUACAGCUUGCACCCUCUGAAGCAGCAGCCUGAUCCAUAUCUGGGGCCCUUUUAGCCAUGACUGGAGCUGGAGUGGCUGGGACACAGGGAGAAGUCUCCCAAGGUUGCUCAGGGCAGCAAGGCCAUAGCCUGGUCUACAAAACCAUUCUUUGUUCCUAGGCCUCUGGGCAUGUGAUGGGAGGGGCUGCCAUUAAGCUCUCUGAAAUGCCUUCCAGGCAUUUUCCCCAUUGUCUUGGCUACUAACAUUAGGCUCCUCUUUACUUUUGCAAAUUUCUGCAGCCAGCUUGAAUUACUCCCCUGAAAAUGGGUUUUUGUUUUCUACCACUUGGCCACAUUACAAAUUUUCAAAACGUUUAUGCUCUAUUUCCCUUUUAAAUAUAUGUUCCAAUUUCAGACCAUCUCUUUGCUCAUGAAUAUAAGCAUAUGCAGUUAGAAGCAGCCAGGAUACUUCUUGAACACUUUACUGCUUAGAAAUUUCUUCCACCAGAUACCCUAAAUCAUCUCUCUCAAGUUCAAAGUUCCACAGAUCCCUACAGCAGGGGCACAAUGCCACCAGUCUUUGCCACAGCAUAGCAAAAGUAACCUUUACUCCAGUUCUCGAUAAAUUUCUUAUCUCCAUCUGACACUACCUCAGCCUGGACUUCAUUGUUAACAACAAUUUAACAAGUCUCUAGGAAGUUCGAAACUUUCCCUCAUCUUCUUGUCUUCUUCUGAGCCCUUCAAAUUGUUCCAACAUCUGCCCAUUACCCAGUUCCAAAAUCGCUUCCACAUUUUCAGGUAUCUUUGUAGCAAUGCCCCACUUCUCUGGUACCAAUAUUCAGUAUUAGUCCAUUCUUGCUAUAAAGAACUACCUGAGACUGACUAAUUUAUAAAGAAAAGAGAUUUAAUUGGCUCAGAGUUCUGCAGGCUGUACCAGAAGCAUGGCUUGGGAGGCCUCAGGAAAUUCACAAGCAUGGCAGAAGGUGAAGAGGAAGGAGGCACGUCUCACGUGGCUGAAGCAGGGGGAAGAGAGAGGGAAGUGUGAGGUGCUACAGACUUUUAAACAACCAGAUCUUGUGAGAACUCACUCACUAUCAUGAGAAUAGCAAGGGGAAAAUCUAGCCCCAUGAUCAAAUCACCUUCCACCAGGCCCCGCCUCCAACACUGGGGAUUGCAAUUCAACAUGAGAUUUGGGUGGGGAUAUGAAUCCAAACCAUAUCAGUAUGGUGGGCCAAACAAUAGCAUCAGGCUGAGCAUGGUGGCUCAUGCCUGUAAUCACAGUACUUUCGGUGGCCAAGGUGAGUGGAUUGCUUGAACUCAGGAGUUUGAGACUAGCCUCAGCAACAUGGUGAAUCCUGUCUCUACAAAAAAUACAAAUAUUAGUGAAGUGUGAUGUUGUAUGCCUGUAGCCCCAGCUACUUGGGAGGCUGAGGUGGGAGGAUGGCUUGAGCCCAGGUGGCGGAGGUUGCAGUGAGCCAAGAUUGUCCCAUGCACUCCAGCCUGGAUGACGGAGCCAGAUCCUGUCUCAAAAAGAAAAAAAGCACCAAAAGACCUCCAUGUCAAAUUCCCAAAACUUGUGAUUUUUACCUUAUAUUAUAAAGGAUGGGAUAAAGUCAAGGCUCUGAGAGGAAAUGUUUAUCCUGGAUUAUCUGAGUCAGUCCUAAAUACAAUCACAUGUAUCCUUAUAAGGAAGGAGAGACAGUUGUGAGACAGACACAGAGAGGACAGAUACACAGAAGAGGAGAAGGUGAUAUGAUGUUGCCUCAAGCCAGAGAACACUGGGCACCCCCAGAAGCUGAAAGAGGCAAGGAAAGAAGAAAUUUCUGUUGUUUUAAGCCACCAAGUGUGUGGUCAUUUGUUACAGCAGCCACAGAGAACUAAUAUAGAUGGAUUGAGCUUGGAUAUCAGAAAAUAAAUUUCUUCCUUUCAGACAUGGGGUAGAAAAGUAAGGAUGUUCAUACACUGAUUAUCUUGGUGGAGGUGAUGGUGGUGAUAUUGUAGGUAAAGUAAUUACAGACUAUUCAUUUUGUAUGUAAUAAUGCAUCAAGAACUUUUCUGAUUUUUUAUUUGUUAGAAAACUCAGAGUUUAGACCAAAUCCUAAAUAUAAUAGAAAACAUUGAGUUUUUAAAAAAACUUUUGACCAUUUAUACCAACCAACUGUAAAGCUUCUUCUUUUAUAUCUUUCAGCAUUUAGUUAUAAAUAAUGAAUCAGGAAACAAAGGGCCAAUAAUGACAUAAUGAACUCCUUAAGGUACGCAUAAUGUUUCAUAAGUUAAGUUAGAAAUUUCCAAUUGCUUUUUCUAAAAUGGAAACAACUGUAUAACAAGAUUGCUUCUUUGAAAUACUGUAAAAGUAUAAUGUUCUAGAUUGUUAUAUACUGCAACAUAUUAAAGCCUAAUGGAUUUUCCUCAUGAAAAUCUGUAAUACUGCUAUGAUUGAAUACUUCUUCAGAACUUGGUAAGCAUGUUGCUUUUUUAAAAUCUUGUAUUUGUCAUAGUACUUAUUCUGGCAGGUGGGGGGACAUUUGGGUGAUGCUUGUUGUUAACAGAAGGACGAAUUAGUUUUGCAGCAUGAAUUGGCAUUCUAUAAAAUUCAUUCACAAAAUAAUUGCUUACUGGGGAUUUUCAUCAUUAUAACUGAGAAAGAGGAGGCACAUCUGUGCUCUUUUGCAAUAUGAGACAGUCAUUUUUCAAACAAAUCAUACAUGCAACAAUAGAUAGGAAUAUGGCGGGAAAAAGAUUCAGUGGUUCUAUCUGAGCCCGUGAUUCCAAUACCAGAGGCAGAAUUGAGAUUCAAGUCUAUAACUGUACCAGGAAAAGUCAUAAUAAGGGUAUAGGGGGUUGAUACAUUUAACUUCUGUCUAUGACAGCUUUCUUUGGAUAAUUUGGUAGAAAAAACAACAUGCAAUAAAAACAUCUUUAGAAGUCUUAGAUUAUUACUAAUUAUUUAUGGGAUUGGUUUCAGAAAUUUGAUACCUUAACAUCUUAAAGAAAAAGGAAGGCCAGGUACAUUGGCUCAGACCUGUAAUCCUAGCACUUUGAGAGAGCAAGGAGUGAAGAUUGCUUAAGGCCAGGAGUUCAAGACAAGCCUGGGCAAAAGUGUGAGACCCCCAACUCUACAAAAAACAAAACAAAACAAAACAAAAAACAAAAAAACCUAGCUGGAUAUGGAUAUGGUAGCACGUGCCUGUAGUCGUAGCUACAGGAGGCUAAGGUGGGAGGAUUGCUUGAGCCCAAGGGUUCAAGGCUACAGUGAGCCAUGAUCAGCCCAUUGCACUCCAGCCUGGGUGACAGAGUGAGAUCUUUUCUUUAAAGAGAGAGAGACAGACAGAGAGAGAAAUACUCUCAACAGGCAGCAUGAAAUCAUGUUCUAAAUCCACACUUCUUUUUUUUCCUGAAGAUAUUUGUUCAAUAACAUACGAGCCAAAUAAUGGAAACUGACAUCGUGUGUGUGUGUGUGUGUGUGUGUGUGUGUGUGUGUGUGUGUGUGUGUUGGGGAGGAGCUAGGUAUGCAGGAGAACCAACCACCAGGGGAAUCUCCUAGUACUUCCUGAAUCCCAAAGGUUCUUUGCCUCUAAUAUCUGACAUCCUUCACUUCCUUUUCCUUCUCUUUGCAACCACCAGCAACUUGACUUACGUGUUACUUGUGUUUAGGUACAAUGUAUUAGUUUUGUUUGUUUGUUUUUGUUUUGUUUUUAGAUGGAGUUCUCUGUUGUUGCCCAGGCUGGGGUGCAAUGGCGAGAUCUCAGCUCACUGCAACCUCCACCUCCCAGAUUCAAGCGAUUCUCCUGCCUUGGCCUCCUGAGUAGCUGGGAUUACAGGCAUGUGCCACCACGCCUGGCUAAUUUUGUAUUUUUAGUAGAGACAGGGUUUCUCCAUGUUGAUCAGGCUGGUCUCGAACUCCUGACCUCAGGUGAGCUGCCCGCCUUGGCCUCCCAAAGUGCUGGGAUUACAGGUAUGAGCCAUCGUGCCCAGCCAAUGUCAUUAAUUUUUAUACCGACAGAUAUAUAUAGCACAGUGCCUUGAGGUGAAAUAUUAAAUUGCCACUUUAUACAUGGAUUAUUACAAUUGCUAUUUAACUGUUUUGAGGAUUCCAGUUUACAUUUUAUAUUUAUAUUAAAACCAUAAUUAUAUUGAAUGUAAUUCAAGUGAUGCCAUUUGUGCUUUUAAAAUCAUUUAAAAUGUUUUGUGUGUUCUAAAAUGUUAAUGACUAGUGGUCAAAUAAAUGAAGUAUAGACUCCUAAAAAUCUCCUGAAAUAGCCCAACCCAAUCUAUCCCCAAAUUAGUGUCCCGAUUGCAGCCUAAUCUCCUCAGCACCCUUCAUGAAGGCUGGCAUUCAGCCACAUGCCACAUUGUUGCCCUUCUGGAAAUAUGCCAGAUUCUUUCAGGGCACGGAAUAUUUGCAAAGAAUGUUUUACCUUUCUGAAAUACCCUUUCCUUCUUCUUCAGUCCUGGCAAAGUUAGUUUCUUCCUCUUAUUUUUUCAUUAGGCUUUAUCUACUCUCCUCUUAAACAAUGUAAGGAUCUUAGAAAACUUUACCCUUUCCACUUAAAUAAUUUUUAAACUUUAUUCUAUUAUUUUUUACUCCCCAAAUUCAUUGUAAAUUUAUCCAAAGUUUAACAUCUAUUUUCCUCUAUGUUUUAUUUUUCAUCUACUAUUUCUUUCUUUCUUGGUUUUAUUUUUUCAUUGUAAAAAACUAAGGUGGACUUGUUAGUAGUUUUUUCUGCAAAAGGCUAUUAGUAGUAAAACUAUUAUAGUCUAUAUUUGUCCAGCAUCAAAUCUACCAGAAUGGCUAAAAUUAAAAAGACUGACAGUAACAAGUAUUGAUGAGUAUGUGAAACACUGCUGGUGGAAAUAUAAGUAAAUACAACAAUUUGGAAACAUUAUUUGGUAUCAUCAACUAAUGCUGAACAUAAUAAACAGCUUAUACCCCUAGGUAAAAUCCAACAGAAAUGCGUACAUAUUGUGGCAGGUUGAAUAAUUGUCCCCCAAGGAUGUCCAUAUCCUAAUACUCAGAACCUGUGAAUGUUACCUUAUAUGACAAAAUAAAAUUUGCAGGUGUGAUUAAGUUAAAUGUGUUGAGAUGGGGAGAUUAUUCUCAAUUAUCUGAGUGGUCUCAAUGUAAUCACAGUGAUCCUUAUAAAAGGGAUGCAGGAGAAGUCAGAGUUGGAGAGAAAGCAAUCGAUGACUGAAGCAAGCAGAGCAUGUAGUGAUGUGGCCACAGUUCAAUGAAUACUAAGUCUAAAAGCUGGAAGGAUCAAGGAACAGACUCCUCCUGGAGACUCCAAAAGAAAUCAGCCCUGGCUGGGCGUGGUGGCUCAUGCCUGUAAUCCCAACACUUUGGGAGGCUGAGGCGGGCGGAUCACGAGGUCAGGAGAUCGAGGCCAUCCUGGCUAACACGGUGAAACCCCGUCUCUACCAAAAAAAUAGAAAAAAUUAGCCGGGCACGGUGGCGGGUGCCUGUAAUCCCAGCUACUCGGGAGGCUGAGGCAGGAGAAUGGCGUGAACCCGGGAGGUGGAGCUUGCAGUGAGCCGAGAUCGUGCCACUGCACUCCAGCCUGGGCAACAGAGCGAGACUCCAUCUCAAAAAAAAAAAAAAAAAAAAAAAAAAAGAAGAAGAAAUCAGCCCUGCUGACACCCUUGUUUUAAUCCCAUGAGCUCCAUUUCAGGCUCCGACCUCUAGAAUUCUGAGAAUGGGGACUUAAAUUGCUUUUGUUAAUGGUAGUCCCUAUGCCUAGACAGUGUAAGUGCUCAAUAAGAAUUGUUGAACAACAACAAACUGUGUGAAUGAAUGAAUGAGUGCAAAUGUCUUUAUUUCACUCUUAUUUGGAUGGGUAAAUUGGCGUGGUAUAGAAUUCUAGAUUGAUGACUAUUUUUUUCAGCACUUUAGAGAGUUUUCUGGCUUUUCUUUUAUUUUCCCAGCCAUUAUCUCUUUGAAUACUGUGCCUCCUUCAUUUUCUCAAUUCUUCCCUUUUGUAACUGUUACUGGACUUUCUAGCCAUGGUGUCUUUAAAUCUGUCCUUCAUUUUAUCCAUCUGUUUAUUUCCUCCUGUUGCUCUCUGGAUAUUUUGUUCAGAUCACAUCCAGUUCAUUUAUAGUUUUGUUUAACUCAUCCACACAAAGUGCACAAGUCACAAGGGUGAAUCUCAACAAACUAUUACAAAGUAAACACAUGCUGCAACUAGGUCAAUAAAAUUCUGUCAUUGCCAAGAAGCUCCCUCAUGCCAUCUUCCAAUCACUAUGGCUUUCUUUCUAUCUAGAGGUAAUCAUUCCUUUAAUAUUUCCAUUAGAGGAAUCUACCAGCAAUGUCAGUGGGUCUACUGACAACAGAUGCUAUUGUUGUGGUCUGCAAAUAUCCUAGUUUGACUUUGUUCCUCAAAGACAUUUUCAUUGACUAUAGAAUUUUAGAUUGGCAGUUAUUUUCUUUUGGUACUUUGAAAAUACAUUUCAGUGUCUUCUGGCUUCGUAGUUUUUAUUGAAAAGGCAAUUAUGAUUCUGAUUAUGAUUCCCAUCAAGGUAGUCUCUUUUCCUUCCCUAUAGAUGAUCUUAUGAUUUUCUAAUUUUUCUUUGUUUUUCAUUGAUUUCACUAUAAUGUGCUAUGUGUAGCUUUCUUUGUAUAUAUCCUUUUUUGGGAUUCCUAAUACUAUCUGAAUCUGCAGCUUAAUCUCUUUUUCCAGUUGUGAAAAAUCCAUAGCCAUACUCUCUUCAACUAUCUUUCUGCUCCAUUUUUCUCUCCUUUUCUUCUGGGACUCCACUUACACAUUUGUUGGAACUUUUAAUUGGAUCCCCGAUGUCUUUCCUAUGUAAUUUUCUCUAUUUUUCCUUCUUUUUGUCUCUUUAUACUUCAUCCUGGGUAUUUUCUUCUGACCAAUUUACCAGGUGAUUUAUUCUUUUUUCAUCUAUGACUAAUUUACUGUUAACCCAUAUAUUGAGUAUUUUUUCAGUAAUUGCAUUUUUUCAUAUCUAGAAUUUUCAUUGGAUUGUUCUUUACAUUUUUAGCUAUCUGACAAUAUUUUAAAUUAUGUCUUUUAUUUCCUUGACUAUAUUAACAUCUAUUUCUAAUAACUUUAUAAUUUUGAAUUUUCUCUUGUCUGUUUCUGAUAUCUGUUUUUCUCUUGGUUGUGAUCAUGUUGUCUUGUCUCCUUGUUAUUCUAAUUAUUUUUUAAUAUAAACUACCCAUUUUAUACAAAGUAGUAGAGAUAAUUUAAGUGUGUAAUAUCUUCCACCAAAGAGGAUUUAUAUAUUUUUUUCUAGUAGGUGGCUAGUAAUUCCAGAUCACCUUGAUAUAAUCAAGGCUUAUAAAAGCCCACUUAAAAAAUCAUAAACACGGAUUUCUAGAGUAUAUUUCUUUGUGGUCUCAAAGCCCCAGAUGUUUGCCACUUGCCUGUCCUAGGCAGGCAAUGAACUCCAAUUUUUGUUCCCUUGGCACCAUGAAUCUGUUCAAAGUUUUGCAAAGCUCCUGAUUCUCUCAGGUGCCUCUUCUGAUAUGAGCGUGGACAGAAAAAAAAAAUGGCACCAGUUGCAGAACUCUUCUGUCUUUUUCAUUUUCUCCCCUAAAUAUCUUGAUCUUUUAAUUCACCCCUGCCUCUUUAAUGUUCAAAUGACAUAGAACAGAUUUUUAAAAAAAUAUUUUGCAAGUAUUAAUAGUUGCUCUGAGCCUGAAGCUUGAUCUGAUUUACUUUGUUUGCAAUUACUGGAAGUCAGGAGCAAUUGCAAGAUAUUCACAGCUAUAAGUUCCAUUCUAUUAUUUUAAAAUUUUUCUUCUUUUUUUAAUAGAUUCUUCCUCUUUUAUUAUGUCUUGGUUUCUUUUGUAGGUCUUCUAUUUUUAUUCUAAAGAUAGCUACUUUAUACUGUCUGGUCAAUAUUCGUGUUAUUGGAGGUCAGAGGAUAUAAUCGUAUUGUUUACUGUGGGUUUUUAAAAAAGGAACUCUAAAUGCACAUAUUAGUUCUAUCCCUUAAUUUUUUAUGGCCUUAAGCAAUUUGCUUGCAUUUUUUAAGGCUUAAUUUUCUCAUCUCUCUGAAAUGGAAACUGUGUUAAAUAUAAUUUUCAUAGUUAACUGUGUGACAUAGUUUUUUUUAACCUGUUGUUUUAAUAUAAAUGGUAAAGAAUCUUGGAUUAAUUUUUUUCUACCAGAAAAUGAAUUAAAAUUAAAAUAUAAAUAUCUUACAGGAUAUGAAACUUGGUAUUUUGGAGCUCUCUGUAAUCACAGUUAUUCAUUACAGCAUUAUCUUGACAGAUAGUACACCCAUCUCUACUGAUAAAGAAACAUGGAGAUUUCUGUUUCCAGCAACAUAAAAAACUAGAUCACCUACUGUGAGAUGUGCUAUAUAUAAUUCAACAAAUUCUUUAAAUUCACAAGGGAAUUCCCUAUUGUCUGAAAAUUUUUAAAAAGAAGGAAUUUGGUAUGGUAAGCCAAUACCAGACUUGUGACUGCAUGACAGUAUUUUAUGAUGCCAAGAGACUUGUGUUUUCAUGAUUCAGUAAUACCUUGUGCCUACCUAAGGUGGUUUAUAUAGUCAUUUCCUUCAAAGGGAUUUUUUUUAUAGAGUCUUGCUCUGUCACCAGGUUGGAGUGCAGUGGCAUGAUCUUGGCUCACUGCAACCUCUGACUCCCUGGUUCAAGUGAUUCUCCUGCCUCAGCCUCCCAAGUAGCUGGGAUUACAGGCAUGCACUACCAUGCCCAGCUAAUUUUUGUAUUUUUAGUAGAAACAGGGUUUCACCGUGUUGGCCAGGAUGGUCUCAAUCUCCUGACCUUGUGAUCUGCCCGCCUUGGCUUCCCAAAGUGCUGGGAUUACAGGCGUGUCCCACUGUGCCCGGCCCAAAGGGAUAUUUUCACAGUGAAAAGACAAACCAGGAAAAAAAGAAGUCUACCCACCAGCAAAGACACAUGACAAAGUUAUUUGUUUGUUCUUGGCCCUGACUCUAGGUAGGACAAAUAUAAUGUAUUUCUUAAGAGUUCCUAGAUAUAGCCCUGGCUUAUAUGGAAUUGUUAUUUGUAUUUUUAUACUCAUAAAUCUAAAAAUUAAUUUAAUGUGAUCAUGAGUAUUUGGCAGAAGAGAAUAAAAUUACUCUUUAGAAAUAUCUACAUUUAACUCAGACUCCCUCAAUAUUUCCAUACAUUUAGAUUAACUGAACUCUAAAUUCCAAACUAUAAAACUGAUGAAACAAGAUAUCAUGAGUGAGAAGUAGCAUGAAAAACAAAUAGUAGAGUUAGAAAUGCUGCAUGGCAUUAUUGUUUGCUUUACUUUGUGUUGUUUUUUAAAGACAAAAUAGACUGAAGCAUGAUUAUAGGUCAAGAGGAACACAUAUUUGAUAAGGAAGAGCCUGGGGAAUAAUUGAUGGGAAUCUUGGAGUAGACCAGAAGAGAGAGGAUCAGGAGUAGAGACUGGAGGGAGACGACCCAUUCAUUCCUGGAGGAAGGGAAGCUGAAAUUGAAAUGUUAAAUUAAAAAUGGACAGGAAUGAUCUCCGUUCCAAGAUGACCGAAUAAGAACAGCUCCGGUGUGCAGCUCCCAGUGUGAUCGACACAGAAGACAGGUGAUGUCUGCAUUUCCAAUGGAAGCACCUGGUUCAUCUCACUGGGACUGGUUGGACAGUGGGUGCAGCCCAUGGAGGGUGAGCCAAAGCAGGUUGGGGUGUCACCUCACCUGGGAGGUGCAAGGGGUCGGGGGAUUCCCCUUUCAUAGCCAAGGGAAGUGGUGACAGACUGUUCCUGGAAAAACUGGACACUCCCGCCCAAAUACUGCACUUUUCCCAUGAUCUUAGCAACUGGCAGACCAGGAGAUGCCCUCCUGUGCCUGGCUUGGUGGGUACCGCCCCCAUGGAACCUUGCUCACUGUCAGUGCAGCAGUCUGAGAUCGACCUGCAAGGCAGCAGCCUGCUGGCGGGAGGGGAGUCUGCAAUUGCUGAGGCUUGACUAGGUAAACAAAGCUGCCAGGAAGUUCAAACUGGGUGGAGCCCACCACAGCUCAGUAAUGCCUACUGCCUCUGUAGACUCCACAUCUGUGGGCAGGGCAUAGCUGAACAAAAGGCAGCAGAAGCUUCUGCAGACUUCAACGUCCCUGUCUGACAGUUCUGAAGAGAGCAGUGGUUCUCCCAGCAGGGCAUUUGAGCUCUGAGAAUGGACAGAGUGCCUCCUCAAGUGGGUCCCUGACCCCCGUGUAGCCUAACUGGGAGACAUCUCCCAGUAGGGGCCAACAGAUACCUCAUGCAGACAGGUGCCCCUCUGGGAAGAAGCUUCCAGAGGAAGGAUCAGGCAGAAAUAUUUGCUGUUCUGUAAUAUUUGCUGUUCUGCACCCUCUGCUGGUGAUACCCAGGCAAACAGGGUCUGGAGUGGAGCUCCAGCAAACUCCAGCAGGGACAAGCAGUUCCCUGCAGCUGAGGGACCUGACUGUUAGAAGGAAAACUAACAAACAGAAAGUAAUAGCAUCAACAUCAAUAAAAAGGACAUCCACACCAAAACCCCAUCUGUAGGUCACCAACAUCGAAGACCAAAGGUAGAUAAAACCACAAAGAUGGGGAGAAAGCAGAGCAGAAAAACUGAAAAUUCCAAAAACAGAGCACAUCUUCUCCUCCAAAGGAUCACAGCUCCUCACCAGCAAUGGAACAAAGCUGGACAGAGAAUGACUUUGACAAGUUGACAGAAGUAGGCUUCAGAAGGUUGGUAAUAACAAAUUUCUCCAAGCUAAAGGAGCAUGUUCUAACCCAUUGCAAGGAAGCUAAAAACCUUGAAAAAAGGUUAGGUGAAUGGCUAACUAGAAUAAACAGUGUAGAGAAGACCUUAAAUGACCUGAUGGAGCUGAAAACCAUGGCACAAGAACUUCGUGACACAUGCACAAACUUCAAUAGCUGAUUCGAUCAAGUGGAAGAAAGGAUAUCAGUGACUGAAAAUCAAAUUAAUGACAUAAAGCAAGAUGACAAGAUUGGAGAAAAAAGAGUAAAAGGAAACAAACAAAUCCUCCAAGAAAUAUGGGGCCAUGUGAAAAGACCAAAUCUAUGUUUGAUUGUUGUACCUGAAAGUGACGGGGAGAAAGGAACCAAGUUGGAAAACACUUUUGAGGAUAUUAUCCAGGAGAACUUCUCCAACUAGCAAGGCAGACCAACAUUCAAAUUCAGGAAAUACAGAGAACACCACAAAGAUACUCCUUGAGAUGAGCAGUCCCAAGACACAUAAUCAUCAGAUUCACCAAGAUGAAAUCAAGGAAUAAAUGUUAAGGGCAGCCAGAGAGAAAGGUCGGGUUACCCACAAAUGGUAGCCCAUCAGACUAACAGUGGAACUCUUGGCAGAAACUUUAUAAGCCAGAAGAGAGUGGAGGCCAAUAUUCAACAUUCUUAACCAAAAGAAUUUUCAACCCAGAAUUUCAUCUCCAGCCAAACUAAGCUUCAUAAGUGAAGGAGAAAUAAAAUCCUUUACCGACAAGCGAAUGCUGACAGAUUUUGUCACCACCAGGCCUGCCUUACAAGAGCUCCUGAAGGAAGCAGUAAACAUGGAAAGGAACAACCGGUACCAGCCACUGCAAAAACAUGCCAAAUUAUAGAGACCAUCAAUUCUAUGAAGAAAUUGCAUGAAAUAAUGGGCAAAAUAACCAGCUAACGUCAUAAUGACAAGAUCAAAUUCACACAUAACAAUAUUAACCUUAAAUGUAAAUGGGCUAAAUGCCACAAGUACAAGACACAGACUGGCAAAUUUGAUAAAGAGUCAAGACCCAUCAGUGUGUUGUAUUCAGGAGACUCAUCUCACAUGCAGAGACACACACAGGCUCAAAAUAAAGGGAUGGAGGAAGAUCUACCAAGCAAAUGGAAAGCAAAAAAAAAGCAGGGGUUGCAAACCUAGUCUCUGAUAAACCAGACUUUAAACCAACAAAGAUCAAUAGAGACAAUGAAGGCCAUUACAUAAUGGUAAAGGGAUCAAUUCAACAAGAAGAGCUAACUAUCCUAAAUAUAUAUGCACCCAAUACAGGAGCACCCAGAUUCAUAAAGCAAGUCCUUAGAGACCUACAAAGAGACUUAGACUCCCACACAAUAAUAAUGGGAAACUUUAACACCCUACUGUCAAUAUUAGAAAAAUCAACGAGACAGAAGGUUAACAAGGAUAUACAGGACUUGAACUCAACUCUGCACCAAGUGGACCUAAUAGACAUCUACAGAACUCUCCAUGCCAAAAUCAACAGAAUAUACAUUCUGUAAAAGAACAGAAACCACAACAAACUGUGUCUCAGACCACAGUGCAAUCAAAUUAGAAUUCAGGAUUAAGAAACUCAUUCAAAACUGCUCAACUACAUGGAAACUGAGCAACCUGCCCCUGAAUGACUACUGGGUACAUAAAAAAAUGAAGGCAGGAAAAAAGAUGUUCUUUGAAACCAAUGAGAAAAAAGACAAAAUGUACCAGAAUCUCUGGGACACAUUUAAAGCAGUGUGUAGAGGGAAACUUAUAGCACUAAAUGCCCACAAGAGAAAGCAGGAAAGAUCUAAAAUCGACACCCUAACAUUACAAUUAAAAGAACUAGAGACGCAAGAGCAAACAAAUUCAAAAGCUAGCAGAAGGCAAGACAUAACUAAGAUCAGAGCAGAACUGAAAGAGAUAGAGACACAAAAAACCCUUCAAAAAAUCAAUGAAUCCAGGAGCUGUUUUUCGAAAAGAUCAACAGAAUCGAUAGACUGCUGGCAAGACUAAUAAGAAAAGAAAGAAGAAUCAAAUAGACACAAUAAAAAAUAAUAAAAGGGAUAACACCACCGAUCCCACAAAAAUACAAACUACCAUCAGAGAAUACUAUAAACACCUCUAUGCAAAUAAACUAGAAAAUCUAGAAGAAAUGGAUAAAUUCCUGGACACAUACACCCUCCCAAGGGUAAACCAGGAAGAAGCUGAAUCUCUGAAUAGACCAAUAACAGCCUCUGAAAUUGAGGCAAUAAUUAAUAGCCUACCAAUGAAAAAAAGGCCAGGACCAGAUGAAUUCUACCAGAGGUACAAAGAGGAGCUGGUACCAUUCCUUCUGAAACUAUUCCAAUAGGAAAGAGGGAAUCCUCCCUAAUUCAUUUUAUGAGGCCGGCAUCAUCCUGAUACCAAAACCUGGUAGAGACACAACAAAAAAACAGAAUUUUAGACCAAUAUCCCUGAUGAACAUCGAUGCAAAAAUCCUCAAUAAAAUACUGUCAAACCGAAUCCAGCAGCACGUCAAAAAGCUUAUCCACCACGAUCAACUUGGCUUCAUCCCUGGGAUACAAGGCUGGUUCAACAUACACAAAUCAAUAAACGUAAUUCAUCAUAUAAACAGAACCAGCGAAGAAAACCACAUGAUUAUCUCAAUAGAUGCCAAAAAGGCUUUUGACAAAAUUCAACAGCCCUUCAUACUAAAAACUCUCAAUAAACUAGGUAUUGAUUGAACAUAUCUCAAAAUAAUAAGAGCUAUUUAUAACAAACACGCAGCCAAUAUCAUACUGAAUGGGCAAAAUUUGGAAGCAUUCCCUUUGAAAAGUGCUAUAAGACAAGGAUGCCCUCUCUUACCACUCCUAUUCAACAUAGUGUUGGAAGUUCUGGCCAGGGUAAUCAGGCAAGAGAAAGAAAUAAAAGGUAUUCAGUUAGGAAAUGAGGAAGUCAAAUUGUCCCUGUUUGCAGAUGACAUGAUUGUAUACUUAGAAAACCCCAUUGUCUCAGCCCAAAAUCUCCUUAAGCUGAUAAGCAACUUCAGCAAAGUCUCAGGAUACAAAAUCAAUGUGCAAAAAUCACAAGCAUUCCUAUACACCAAUAACAGACAAACAGAGAGUGAAAUCAUGAGUGAACUCCCAUUCACAAUUGCUUCAAAGAGAAUAAAAUACCUAGGAAUCCAACUUAUAAGGGAUGUGAAGGACCUCAUCAAGGACAACUACAAACCACUGUUCAAUGAAAUAAAAGAGGACACAAACAAAUGGAAGAACAUUCCAUGCUCAUGGGUAGGAAGAAUCAAUAUCGUGAAAAUGGCCAUACUGCCUAAGGUAAUUUAUAGAUUCAAUGCCACCCCCAUCAAGCUACCAAUGACUUUCUUCACAGAAUUGGAAAAAAUUACUUUAAAGUUCAUAUGGAACCAAAAAAACCUGCAUUGCCAAGACAAUCCUAAGCCAAAAGAACAAAGCUGGAGGCAUCACGCUACCUGACUUCAAACUAUACUACAAGGCUAUAGCAACCAAAACAGCAUGGUACUGGUACCAAAACAGAGAUGUAGACCAGUGGAACAGAACAGAGACCUCAGAAAUAAUAAUACACAUCUACAACCAUCUGAUCUUUGACAAACCUGACAAAAACAAGAAAUGGGGAAAUGAUUUCCUACUUAACAAAUGGUGCUGGGAAAACUGGCUAGCCAUAUGUAGAGAGCUGAAACUGGAUCCCUUUCUUACACCUUAUACAGAAAUUAAUUCAAGAUGGAUUAAAGACUUUAAUGUUGAACCUAAAACCAUAAAAACCCUAGAAGAAAACCUAGGCAAUACCAUUCAGGACAUAGGCAUGGGCAAAAACUUCAUGACUAAAACACCAAAAGCAAUGGCAACAAAAGCCAAAAUAGACAAAUGGGAUCUAAUUAACCUAAAGAGCUUCUGCACAACAAAAGAAACUACCAUCAGAGUGAACAGGCCACCUAUAGAAUGGCAGAAAAUUUUUGCAUAGUACCCAUCCAACAAAGGGCUAAUAUCCAGAAUCUACAAAGAACUUAAACAAAUUUACAAGAAAAAAACAAACAACCUCAUCAAAAAGUGGGCAAAGGAUAUGAACAGACACUUCUCAAAAGAAGACAUUUAUGAAGCCAAAAAACGUGAAAAAAUGCUCAUCAUCAGAGAAAUGCAAAUCAAAACCACAAUGGAAUACCAUCUCACACCGGUUAGAAUGAAGAUCAUUAAAAAGUCAGGAAACAACAGAUGCUGGAGGGGAUGUGGAGAAAUAGGAACGCUUUUGCACUGUUGGUGGGAGUGUUAAUUAGUUCAAUCAUUGUGGAAGGCAGUAUGGUGAUUCCUCAAGGAUCUAGAACUAGAAAUACCAUUUGACCCAGCGAUCCUAUUACUGGGUAUAAACCCAAAGGAGUAUAAAUCAUGCUGCCAUAAAGACACAUGCACACGUAUGUUUAUUGCAGCACUACUCACAAUAGCAAAGACUUGGAACCAACCCAAAUGUCCAUCAGUGAUAGACUGGAUUAAGAAAUUGUGGCAUAUAUACCCCAUGGAAUACUAUGCAGCCAAAAAAAGGAUGAGUUCGUGUCCUUUGUAGGGACAUGGAUGAAGUUGGAAACCAUCAUUCUCAGCAAACUGUCACAAGGACAGAAAACAAACACUGCAUGUUCUCACUCAUAGGUGGGAAUUGAACAUUGAGAACACGUGGGCACAGGGAGGGGAACAUCACACACUGGGGCCUGUCAGGGGGAGGGGGACUAGGGGAGAGAGAUAGCAUUAGGAGAAAUACCUAAUGUAAAUGAUGAGUUGAUGGGUGCAGCAAACCAGCAUGGCACAUAGAUAACUACGUAACAAACCUGCACGUUCUGCACAUGUACCCUGGAACUUAAAGUAUAAUAAAAAAAAUGGACAAUGAUUUGAAAGACUCUUGGCCAAAUUUUCUAUUUAUUUAUUUAUUUAUUUUAUAUUUUAACUUCUAUUUUAGGAUUGGGGGUUCAUGUAAAGUUUUGUCACACAGGUAAACAUGUGUCACAAAGUUUUGUUGUACAUAUGAUUUCAUCACCAAGCUAUUAAGCCCAGUACCCAAUAGUUAUCUUUUCUGCUCCUCUACCUUUUCCCACCCUCCUCCCUUCUGAUAGACCCCAGUGUCUGUUCCUUCUUUGUGUUCCUAAGUUCUUAUCAUUUAGCUUCCAUUUAUAAGUGAGAACAUGAGGUAUUUGGCUUUCUGUUCCUGUGUUAGUUUGCUAAGGAUAACAUCCUCCAGCUCCAUCCAGGUUCCUGAAAAAAACAUAAUGUCAUUCUUUUCCAUGACUGCAUAGUUUUCCAUGACUGCAUAGUAUUCCAUGGCGUAUAUGGGAUAGUAUACAUAUACACCAUGUGUAUGCAUAUAUCUUUUCUUUAAUCUGUCAUUGAUGGGCAUUUAGGUUGAUACUAUGUCUCUGCUAUGUGUAUAGUGCUGCAAUGAACAUUUGUGUGCAUGUAUCUUUAUGGUAGAAUAAUUUGUGUUUGGAUAUCUUCCCAGUGAUGGGAUUGCUAGGACAAAUGGUAGUUCUCCUUUCUCAAUGUAUUAGGUAGUAUGAAGGAAGUGAGAGUGGCUAGUUUAAUUGGAAGCUUGAGGACAUGGGUAAAAGUUUGCAUUCUCCGUGGAGAAUCUAAAAGAGAGAAGAAAGGAAUCUCAGAAAGGAAUUCUUCAUUCUGUAUGUAGAAUCAAAGGAAGAUUAAACAAGAAAAAGUAGGACAGCUGAUCAGUGUUGAGAGCACAAGUAUGGACACGAAAAUUUGAAUGAUUUUCGUUCUGUGAGGUUGUGUGGCAUUUCCUGUCAACUCUGGAAAGAUGGAGAAGCUGUAAAAUCCAUAAUUAUAACUGAAGGCAUAUUUAGAGCAAGAGCAAAUAUGUAACUGAAACUGUUAUGUCAAGAAAAAGAUGAAAUUUCAUUCAAUAUUCAGAGUUUAAGAAAGAAUGAAUUGCACAUGAGAAUUCUGAAAGCAUUUGUUGAAGUUGAAAUGAUUAAAAUUUUUAAAGUUUUCAUGCCAGAAAGAAUAAACAUUAGCUGUCAAAAAAUUCAUUUAAAUGGAUAAACACUGAGCAAAUGAACUCUUCCUGGAUUUUUUACUUAUUACCUGAUUAAAUUGAUUGGCAAAAAAUUUAAAUUGUUUUUCUUUUUCUCUAAAUCUAUAUGUCAAAGUAAGAAACCCAAAACAAUCAACCUUGUAACUCUUUUAAGCAAAAUAUUCAGAAAUUGUUUAGGUGCCAGGCAUGUUGAAUUUGAGAUCCUGACAGCCAAAGAGCAAGUGCAUAUAUGCAUUUUAAGUAGUUUCCUAUAUCAUUAUUUCAAUGCCACUGCAAUCAUUCACUGUGUUAGGUGCUCCAAUCAUUUAUUGAUCUUCUGGUAACUAGCAUAGCAGCUGCAACAAAAGCCCUACCAUGUUUCUGUCUAGAAUCUCUGCUGCCCCACAGCACCUGCUGUGUACCCCUCACGGGGAGUUUAUAAAGAACAUUAGAUAACAUAGAGGCUUGUUUAGCUUAGUGCUGCAUUUAGUUUUGGUAUUGAGGAGUUCAUAGGUUGCCAAUACUUUCGUUUUGUUAUUUUAUUAUUGUUAUUUUUAUUAUUGUUUAUUAUUGUUAUUUUAUUAUUGUGGUGUUUGUUUCAAAAGACUGAAUGUUAGAAUGAAGUAUAUUUUAGGCCUGACUAAAAUGUUAUCAGGGCCAGGAAAUUUGGUGAGAUUUCUUUCAACAAAAAUCUCUUAGGCUCAUAGUGCAACUCAAUUCUAGGAAGCUCAAGAAAGCUACUAGUUUCAACUCAUCCAGUUGCCAGAUGCUAAUCUCUUGAUAGCAUGCUGCUUCAGCAUUCAUUCAUCUAUCGCUUGCUUUGGUUUCUGCCUUAGAAAAAGACAGGACCGAAUGCAGAGAAACUGAAAAUCAAACAAACAUACUCUCUGAGAAUAUAGUUAAAGGAAAUAAGGUUUUUAUUUAUGAAUGCGGCAAAGGUUACUGUUUCUUACAAAAUGAUAGUGACAUAAAAUAAAAACAAUGACUCUGAAAAGAAUGCAAAAUAAGCAUCUCAGUGUUUAAACUUGCAUCAUAAAUCCCAUGGGUUUUAUUUUAUAGGAAACGCUUAGGUCCUGAUUCAGAGCCUACUCACUGUGUUUUAUAUAAAAUUCCUACAUGCUUAAUUAUUUACUUUCUGAGCUUACAGAUGGUAUAUGGAGUGUGUAUAUCUAGGUAAUCCUGAGAAAACCACUAGACUGUAAACUCCAUGAGAGCAGAGACCAGAUUUAUUUUAUUUGAUUUUGGAUUUCCAGUGUUUAGCACAUUCCUGCUGUAUAGCAGCUGGACAAGAAAAAUUUAACAAAGAAAUGAAUGAUAAUUAAUUGGAAGUAAUCAGGGAAUCUAGACCUGUCUUAAUGAAACAGAUGUGAGAUAUAUCCUCUGAAGCCUAAAAAAUCAAAGUGGUGAUGCUAACAGUGUUGCCUUUUAGAGAUAGUUGGAAUGGAAAAAUAUUUAUUUUUUUCCGAGGUCUGCCAGUUCUGUCUUGAAUGACCUAAACCAUGAAAUUUAUACCUCAGAAUAUUGGCAACUAUUUAGAUCAAACGAAACUCAACCAUCUUCAAAAAAGUGACCUUUCAGAGAAAGUUGCUGUUCUUUUAUUGACUUCUUAAAUCAAACUUAUUUUUAAUGUGUCCCACAUGUUUAAAACAUAGUCUGCAUCAAACUUAACUCUAAAUUAUGAUGCAUCUGAACCUAAAUAUUGUCUCAACUAAAAAUUUUUAAUCAAAAUAACAGUGCACUUACUGGCUUAAUUCAACAUGGGGGAGCUGAUGUUUCUGAACCCUGGAGGCUAAUCCUAUGAUAGCAAUAGUCCUUGAGUAGUGUAGAUUCUUUUGCUUCUAUUUUUGAAGAAAGGUAAUGAAUAUAAAGGUAAUGAAUAUAAAGGAAUAUAAACAUCAGAGUUCUACUUCAUUAAAAUGUGGUUUAAAAUGAGGUGAAAACUGUCAGAAUAUUCUUAUUAUCAUGUGUUAUGAACAGAGUAUGCCAGGGAAUAAUUUAUUCAUCUAGAAUGAGCGUGCUAACUGUAAAACCCUUUGGUUAAAAGCACAGACUCUGAAGCAGACUAAAGUGCUUAAAUCUUGGCUGUGUCACUUACCAGCUAUAUGACCUUGGUAAUACUUCAUCUUUUUGGGCCUCGGAUUUCUCAUUUGUGAAAUGAUGGUAAUAAUAUUACCUAUUUAACAGGCUUGUUGUGAAGAUUCAAUGAGUUAAUAUGAAGUUCAUAGAAAGUGCCUGGAAUAGUGGCCGGGUGUGGUGGCUCACACCUGUAAUCCCAGCACUUUGGGAGGCCGAGGCAGAUGGAUCACGAGGUCAGGAGAUCUAGACCAUCCUGGCUAACACAGUGAAACUCUGUCUCUACUAAAAAUACAAAAAAUUAGCUGGGCAUGGUGGCAGGCGCCUGUAGUCCAGCUACUUGGGAGGCUGAGGCAGGAGAAUGGUGUGAAUCCGUGAGGCAGAGGUUGCAGUGAGCCGAGAUUGCACCACUGCACUCCACCCUGGGCGACAGAGCAAGACUCCAUCUCAAAAAAAAAAAAAAAAUAAAAAUAAAAGUGCCUGGAAUAUAAGUGCUAAAUAAGUGUUUGGUCACUCAUUGUUUCUCAUAAAGUGACACAAAACUUUAAUCAUUCUUUGGAGAAAGUUAUGUGAAAAGGAAGAGCAGCAUGCAGUCAUAACAUUAAUUCCAUCAAUUCCUUGGCUGUAUCUCUGUGCAAUUAGGCAAUCGUUUUAUUGCUAGUGCUAUUCCAAGGUUAUUUCACUUCAGUGGGCCUAGGAAGGCUUUAAUGCUGACUUCUUUCCCAUCAUGAGCAGAGUAAUGGGUCCUUUGGAUACCAAACCCCUUGGUGUAGCUUACUUGGCUUAAAUUAAUGUGCUCUGUUCAACCAGUCACACCUUCCUUACCCCCAGGAUCCCACAGCGUCUCUCAUUCUUGCCACCACCAAAGCAGCCUGCCAGCUUGUACUUGCCCCUCGAAGUUCCCAGGCAAGAGUCAGAGAAAGGUUCCCUGUGUCCUCCUAACUCCAUGGUAUGGAUCAGACACUUACAUGUGCAGAUCCUCUUUCUCCCUUGGCUCACAGCACCCUGGCAACUCUCACCAAAUAAAUCCUCCUUCCAAAUCCUUUCUCCAGUCUUAUUGUUUACUCCUUAUUACUUGCCAUGUGGGUUUUAGGGUUGUCUAACUAGUUCUCAACAAUACCACUUGGAAAAUGUGUAAGUACUACUGGAUGUUGUCCCUUAAUUCAUUUUAAUAUCUGAUGUUCACAUACCUUGGUGUCUCAGUUAAAAUUUCUUAUUUUCUUAUAGAAGCAAUAGCCUGGUUCUAUAAAGACAUUAAUGAUAUUUUUUAAAUAAAGUUUUAAUCCAGACUUUCUGUUCCUGCAGAUUCCUUUUGUGCAGUGUGUGUUUUUCUCUGCUCUUUAUCCUUCUUCCUGCACCCUUUUUUUCAAGAGUCUGGUGGUCCUCGACUGCCCUCAUUUCAGACAGAGGAACUGCACACUGACUGGAAACUCUGUCUGCAUGUGUUGAUUGGACUGUACACUGUGGCCUCUCUGCAGGGCAAUCUAGCUGGCAUUUCCACUGUGGAACACUAGCAAAAAUGAAUGUGUUAGGUCUUUCAUCCAGGGAUGAUUAUGCCAAGAAAAGAAUCCUCCAAUUUCCUGCUUUUGAAGUAUGGGUGGUAGAUAGGAUCUGGAUUGUCAGUUUUCUAAGCCAAAGUGAAGGAGACAGGGGUUUCACCAUUCAUAAUGUAGACUUUGCUGAUUCUCCUGUUUCAAGUAUUGCAUCUCACUCUUGCCCUCAGCCGUGAUGUUAUCUGUAAGUCUCGAACCUCUGUGGGCCAGAUCUUUGGAUUCUCCUGGUUCUGUCUGUCUUGUACCAGUAUACAGUGGAUCUGUGUGUGUGAUGAGUGAGGAAGGGGAUAAGAGACUUUCAUCCAGUCUUCCUGUGAACAGCGUCAUUUAUACCUUCACUAACAGAGAUACUUGACCCUCCAAUUCCUAAGCCUUUCUGCAGGUCUGCAAACUUUGUUUGCCAGAUAAGGUUGCUAUUUAUCCUGGUAACUGAAGACAAAGGGCAUAUACUCUUGGGAGUUCUGGAACAGGUGUUGGUUUCCAUGACUGAGAGACCCAUAGAUGGUUCACAUCACAGGACUCUGUGCAGACAACCCCCAGUACCAGCCUGGAGCCUGGUAGACUUGCUAGGUUGCUAGAUCCAGAACAGAGAUAACAAUCACUACAGCUCAGCUCUCAGAAAGCAACAUGCACAGGAAAAAGGGAAGAGUACUACAUCAGGGCAACAUCCUAUGGGACAAAACAAUCUGAAAAACAGCCUUCAGCCCUAGACCUUCCUUCUGACAGAGCCUGCCCAAAGAAGAAGGAACCAGAAAACCAAUUCUGGUAAUAUGACAAAACAAGGUUAUUUACCACGCCCGAAAAAUCACACUAGCUCACCAACAACGGAUCCAAAUGAAGAAGAAAUCCCUGAUUUACCUGAAAAAGAAUUCGGGAGGUUAGUUAUUAAGCUAAUUAGGGAGGCACCAGGGAAAAGUGAAGCCCAGUGUAAGGAAAUCAAAAAAUGGUACAAAAGGUGAAGGGAGGAAUAUUCAACGAAAUUGAUAGCAUAAAUAAAAAGUAAUAAAAACUUCAGGAAACAAUGGACACACUUAUAGAAAUGCAAAAUGCUCUGGAAAGCCUCAGCAAUAGAAUUGAACAAGUAGAAGAAAGGAAUUCAGAGCUCGAAGACAAGGUCUUUGAAUUAACCCAAUCCAACAAAGACAAAGAAAAAAGAAUAAGAAAAUAUGAACAAAGACUCCAAGAAGUCUGGGAUUAUGUUAAACAACGAAACCUAAGAAUAAUGGGGAUUCCUGAAGAAGAAGAGAGAUCUACAAGUUUGGAAAACAUAUUUGGGGGAAUAAUUGAGGAAAACUUCCCUAGCCACGCUAGAGACCUAGACAUCCAAAUAUAAAAAGGACAAAGAACAUCUGGGAAAUUCAUCACAAAAAGAUAAUUGCCUAGGGACAUUGUCAUCAGGUUAUCUAAAGUUAAGAUGAAGGAAAGAAUCUUACUUAAGAGCUGUGAGACAGAAGCACCAGGUAACCUAUAAAGGAAAACCUAACAGAUUAACAGCAGAUUUCUCAGAAGAAACUGUACAAGUUAGAAGGGACUGGGGCCCUAUCUUCAGCCUCCUCAAACAAAACAAUUAUAAGCCAAGAGUUUUUUAUCCAGUGAAACUAAGCUUCAUAUAUGAAGGAAAGAUACAGUCAUUUUCAGACAAACAAAUGCUGAGAGAAUUUGCCACUACCAAGCCACCACUACAAGAACUGCUAAAAGGAGCUCUAAAUCUUGAAACAAAUUGUGGAAACACAUCAAAACGCAACCUCUUUAAAGCAUAAAUCUCACAGGACCUAUAAAACAAAAAUAAAAUUUAAAAAAACAAAAACAAAAAGCUAAAAGUUAAGGGAUACAUGCAAUAAAUAGCACAAUGAAUGCAAUGGUACCUCACAUCUCAAUACUAACAUUGAAUGUAAAUGACUCAAUCUCCACUUAAAAGAUACAGAAUUGGAGAAUUAUAAAAAUUCUUGCUACCUUCAAGAGACUCACCUAACACAUAAGGACUCACAUAAACUUAAGGUAAAGGGGUGAAAAAGACAUUUCACACAAAUGAAUAUCAAAAGUGAGUAUGAGUAGCUAUUCUUAUAUCAGACAAAAUAAACUUUAAAGCAACAGCAGUUAAAAAAGACCAAGAGGGACAUUAUAUAGUGAAAAAAGGCCUUGUUUGACAGGAACAUAUGACAAUCAUAAAUAUAUAUACACCUAAGACUGGCGCUUCCAAAUUUAUAAAACAAUUACUAAUAGACCUAAGAAAUGAGAUAGAAGCAACACGAUAAUUGUGGGGGACUUCAAUACUCCACUGACAGCACUAGACUUGUCAUUAAGACAGAAAGUCAACAAGGAAACAAUGAAUUUAUACCAUGGAACAAAUGAACUUAACAGAUAUAUACAGAACAUUCCAUCCAACAACUGCAGAAUGUACAUUCUAUUCAACAGCAUAUGAAACUUCCUCCAAGAUAGACCAUAUGAUAGGCCACAAAAUGAGCCCAAUAAAUUUAAGAAAAUUGAAAUGAUAUCAAACAGUCUUUCAGACCAUAGUGGAAUAAAACUGGAAAUCAACUCUAAACCUUUAAAAUCAUGUAAAUAUCAUAGACAUUAAGUAGUCUUCUCCUGAAUGAUCAUUGUAGUCAAAAUGAAAUCAGCAUAGAAAUUACAAAAUUCUUCAAACUGAACGACAAUAGUGACACAAGCUAUCAAAACCUCAUGGAUACAGCAAAGGCAGUGAGAAGUGGAAAGCUCAUAGCCCUAAACACCUACAUCAAAAAGUCUGAAAGAGCACAAACAAAUAAUCUAAGGCCACACUUCAAGGAACUAGAGAAGCAAGAACAAACCAAACCCAAACCCAGCAGAAGAAAGGAAAUAACCAAGAUCAGAGCAGAACUAAAUGAAAUUGAAACAAAAAGAAAAUUAUGAAAGAUAAAUGAAACAAAAAGCUAGUUCUUUAAGAAGAUAUAUAAAAUUGAUAGACCAUUAGCAAUAUUAAUCAAGAAAAGAAGAAAAUCCAAAUAAGCUCAAUAAGAAACAAAAUGGAAGAUACUACAACUGACAGCACACAAAGAUCAUUCAAGGCUGCUAUGAACACCUUUACACACAUAAACUAGAAAACUUAGAAUAGAUGGAUAAAUUCCUGGAAAGGUGCAACCCUUCUAGCUUAAAUCAGGAAGAAUUAGAUACCCUGAACAGACCAAUAACAAGCAGCAAGAUUGAAAUGGCAAUUAAAAAAUUACCAGCAAAAAAAGUCCAGGACCAGACAGAUUCACAGCAGAAUUCUACCAGACAUUCAAAGAAGAAUUGGUACCAAUCCUAUUGACACUAUUCCACAAGAUAGAGAAGAAGGAAUCCUCCCUAAAUCAUUCUCUGAAGUCAGUAUCACCCUAAUACCAAAACUGGUAAAAAACAUAACCAAACAAGAAAUCUGCAGAACAAUAUCCCUGAUGAACAUAGAUACUAAAAUCCUUAACAAAAUACUAGCUAACUGAAUCCAACAACGUAUCACAAUGAUAAUCCACCAUGAUCAAAUAGGUUUCAUAUCAGGAAUGCAGGGAUGGUUUAGCACAUGCAAGUCGAUAAAUGUGAUACACCACAUAAACAGAAUUGAAAACAAAAAUCACAUGAUUAUCUCAAUAGAAGCAGAAAAGCAUUUGACAAAAUCCAGCAUCCCUUUAUGAUUAAAACUCUCAGCAAAGUUGGUAUAUGAGGGACAUACCUCAAUAUAAUGAAAGCCACCUAUGACAAAUUUAUAGCCAACAUAAUACCGAAUGGGGAAAAGUUGAAAGCAUUCCCUCUGAGAACUGGAACAAGACAAGGAUGUCCACUUUCACCAUUCUGCUUCAACAUAGUACUAGAAGUCCUAGCCAGAGCAAUCAGACAAGAGAAAGAAAUAAAGGGCAUCCAAAUCAGCAAAGAGGAAGUCAAACUGUUGCUCUUUGCUGAUGAUAUGAUCAUUUAUGUAGAAAACCCUAAAGACUCUUCCAGAAAGCUCCUAGAACUGAUAAAAUAAUUCAGCAAAGUUUCUGGAUACAAAAUUAAUGUACACAAAUCAGCAGCUCUUUUAUCCACCAAUAGCGACUAAGCUGAGAAUCAAAUUAAGAACACAACCCCUUUUACAAUAGCUGCCGGAAAAAACAAAACAAAACAAAAAAAACACUUAGGAAUAUACCUAACCAAGGAGGUGAAAGACCUCUACAAGGAAAGCUACAAAACAUUUCUGAAAGAUAUCAUAAAUGACAGAAACAAAUAGAAACACAUCCCAUGCUCAUGGAUGAGAGAAUAAAUAUUGUGAAAAUGACCAUACACCAAAAGCAAUCUAGAAAUUCAAUGCAAUUUCCAUCAAAAUACUGUCAUCAUUCUUCACAGAAUUAGAAAAACAAUUCUAAAAUUCAUAUGGAACCAAAUAAGAGCCCAUAUAGCCAAAGCAAGAGUAAGCAAAAAGAACAAAUAUGGAGGAAACACAUUACCUGAUUUCAAACAAUAAGGUUAUAGUCACCAAAGCAGCACGGUAUUGGUAUAAAAAUAGGCACAUAGACCAAUGGAACAGAAUAGAGAACCCAGAAAUAAACCCAAAUACUUUUAGCCAUCUGAUCUUUGACAAAACAAACAAGAACAUAAAGUGGGGAAUGGACACUCUUUUCAACAAAUGGUGCUGGGAUAAUUGGCUAGCCACAUGUAGGAGGACAGUGGAUCCUCAUCUUUCACUUUAUACCAAAAUCAACUCAAGAUGGAUUAAUUACUUAAAUCUAAGACCUGAAACUAUAAAAAUUCUAGAAGAAAACUUUGGAAAAACCCUUCUAGACACUGUCGUAGCAAGGAUUUCAAGACCAAAAACCCAAAAGCAAAUGCAACAAAAACAAAGAUAAAUAGCUGGAACUUAAUUAAAUGAAACAGCUUUUGCAUGGCAAAAGGAACAGUCAGUAGAGUAAAUAGACAACUCACAGAGUGGGAGGAAAUCUUCACAAUCUAUACAUCUGACAAAGAACUAAUAUCCAGAAUCUACAACGAACUCAAACAAAUCAGCAAGAAAAAAACAACCCCAUCAAAAAGUGGGCUAAGGACAUGAAUAGACAAUUCUCAAAAGAAAAUAUACAAAUGGCUAACAAACAUAUGAGAAAAUGUUCAACAUCACUAAUGAUCAGGGAACUGCAAAUCAAAACCACAAUGCGAUACCACCUUACUCCUGCAAGAAUGGCUUUAAUAAAAAAAUUAAAAAAUAGUAGAUGUUGGCAUGAAUGCGGUAAACAGGGAACACUACUACACUGCUGGUGGGAAUGUAAACUAGUACAACCACUGUGGAAAGCAGUGUGGAGGUUCGUUAAAGAGCUAAAAGUAGAACUAUCAUUUGAUCCAGCAUUUCCACUACUGGGUAUCUACCCAGAGCAAAAGAACUCAUAUGAAAAAGAUAUUUGUGCACACAUGUUUAUAGCAGCACAAUUCGCAAUUGCAAAAAUGUGAAACCAACCCAAAUGCCUACUGAUUAACGAGUGGAUAAAGAAACUGUAUAUAUAUAUGAUGGAAUACUACUCACCCAUAAAAAGGAAUGAAUUAAUGGCAUUCACCGUGACCUGGAUGAGAUUGGAGACCAUUAUUCUAAGUGAAGUAACUCAGGAAUGGAAAACCAAACAUCAUACGUUCUCACUUACAAGUAGGAGCUAAGCUAUGAGGAUGCAAAGGAAUAAGAAUGACACAAUGGGCUUUGGGGACUCAGGGGGAAAGGGUGGGAAGUGGGUGAGGGGUAAAAGACUACAAAUAGCAUGCAGUGUAUACUGCCUGGGUGGUGGAUGCACCAAAAUCUUACAAAUCACCACUAGAGAAUGUACUCAUAUAACCAAACACCACCUGUUCCCCAAUAACCUGUGGAAACAAAAAAUUUUUUUAAAUUAAAACUUAGAAGAAAAAAAGGAUGUAACAGAAUGAUAGGCUGGUGGUAAAAUCUGUCUAAUCUUGUUCAGUAGAAGGCAUAACUUGUGAAAACUGCCUGAUAUAAUAUGGUGUUGCUGUACAGGGAUACCUUGUCUUACUGCACUUUGCUUUAUUGUGCUUCAUAGAUAUUGCAUUUUUUACAAAUUGAAGGUUUGUGCCAACUGUGUUUUGAGUAAGUCUGUUGGCACCAUUUUUUCAAGAGCAGAUGCUCACUUUAUGUCUCUGUGUCAUGUUUUGGUAAUUCUCACAAUAUUUCAAACUUUUUCAUUAUUGUUAUACCUGUUACAGUGAUCUGUGAUCAGUGAUCUUUGAUGUUACUAUUGACUUCAUUUGGGGGCAUUACAAACCACAUCCAUAUAGGAUGUCAAACUUAAUCAAUGAAUAUUCUAUGUGUUCUGACUGCUCCAUUGACUGGCCAUUCCCCCAUCUCUUUCCUUUUUUGGUGGGUCUCUAUUUCCUGAGACACAAGAAUGUUAAAGUUAGACCAGUUAAUAACCUUACAAUGGCCUCUAAGUGUUCAAGUGAAAGAAAGGGUCACAAAUCUGUCACUUUAAACCAAAAACUAGAAGUGAUUAAGCUUAGUGAGCAAAGCAUGUCAAAAGCUGAGAUAGGCUGGAAGCUAGGCCUUUUAUGCCAAACAGUGAGCCAAAUUGUGAAUGCAAAGACAGAGUUCUUGAAAGAAAUUAAAAGUGCUACUUCAGUGAACACAUGAAUGGUAAGAAAGCAAAAGAGGCUUAUUGCUGAUAUGGAGAAAGUUUUAGUGGUCUGGGUAGAAAAUCAAACCAGCCACAACAUUCCCUUAAGCCAAAGCCAAAUCCAGAGCAAGUCCCUAAUUCUCUUCAACUCUGUAAAGCUUCAGAGAGUUGAGGAAGUGGCAGAAGAGAAGUUUGAAGCUAGCAGAGGUGAGGUCCAUGGGGUUUAAGAAGAGAAGCCAUCUCCAAAACAUAAGAAGUGCCAAUGCUGGUAUAGAAGCUGCAGUAAGUUAUUCAGAAGAACUAGCUAAGCAAAUCAAUGCAAUUGGCUACACUAAACAGCAGAUUUCCAAUGUAGGCGAAACAGCCUUCUAUUGGAUGAAGAUGCCAUUUAGGAUUUUCAUAGCUAGAGAGGAGAACUCAAUGUCUGGCUUUAAAGCUUCAAAGGACACACUGUUUUUCAGGGCAAAUGCAGCUAGUGACUUGAAGUUGAAGCCAAUGCCCAUUUAGUAUUUCAAAAAUCCUAGGGUGUCUCUCAGAAUGUUUGAGUGAAAAAAAAGAAAAAUAAUCCUAGUGCCCUUAAAAAUUAUGUUAAAUCUGCUCUGACUGUUCCCUAUAAAUGAAAAAGCAAAGCCUGUAUGACAGCACAUCUGCUUACAGCAUGGCUUACUGAACAUCUAAAUAUUUUAUGUCCACUGUUGAGACAUACUGCCUAGAAAAACUUCUUUCAAAAUAUUUCUGCUCAUUGACAAUGCAUAUGGUCACCCAAGAGUUCUGAUAAAAUUGUAGAAGAUUAAUAUUGUUUUUGUGCCAACGUUAUUGUGUUACUGUGUAACCAAUGGGACAAGAAGUAAUUUUGUUUAUUUUUAAAGAAAUGAAAUCUUGUUAUGGUUCCCAGGCUGGAGUCGAACUCCUGGCCUUAAAUGAUUCUUCCACUUCGGCCUUCUGUGUAGCUGGUAUUGUAGGCAUGCACCACCAUGCUUGACUUUCAAAUCUCAUUACUUAAGAAAGAUAUUUUGUAAGGCUAUAGCUGCCAUAGCUAGUGAUUCCUCUGAUGAAUUUGGGCAAAGUAAGUUGAAAACCUUCUGAAAAUAAUUUACCAUUCUAGAUGCCAUUUGUGAUUCAUGGGAGGAGGUCAAAAUAUUAACAUUGACAGGAGUUUGGAAGAAGUUGAUUCCAACCUUUAUGGAUGACUUUGUGGGGUUCAAGAUUUCAGCAGACAAAGUAACUGCAGAUGUGGAAAUAGCAAGAGAACCAAAAUUAGAAGAGAAGCCUGAAGAUAUGACUGAAUUGCUACAAUUUCAUGAUAAACUUUAAUGGAUGAUGAGUUGCUUUCUAUGGAUGAGCAAAGAAAGUGGUUUCUUGAGAUGGAAUCUACUCCUGGUGAAGAUGCUAUAAACAUUGUUGAAGUGAUAACAAACAAUUAAGAAUAUUCGAUAAACUUCAUUGAUAAAGCAGUGGCAGGGUUUGAGAGGAUUUACUCCAAUAUUGAAAGAAUUUCUAUUGCGGGUCAAAUGCUAUCAAGCACUAUCACUUGCUACAGAGGAAUCUUUCAUUAAAGGAAGAGUUAAUUGAUAAAGCAAACUUUAUUGUUGGCUUAUUUUCAGAAAUUGCCACAGCCACCCCAACCUUCAGCAACUAUCACCCUGAUCAGUGAGCAACCAUCAGCAUUGAAGCAAGACCCUCCACCAGCUAAAAGAUUAUGACUCGCUGCAGGCUAAGGUGAUCAUUAGCAAUUUUUAGCAAGAAAGUAUUUUUAAAUUAAGGUAUCUACAUUGUAUUUUUGUUGGAAUGCUAUUGCACAUUUAAUAGACUACAGUAUAAGGUACAUAUAAAUUUCAUAUGCACUGGAAAAACAAAAAAGUCGGUAUGAUCUCUCUACUGUGAUAUUGUCUUUAUUGUGGUGAUCUGAAACCAAGCCUGCAAUAUAUUUGAGGUAUGCCUGCCUUGUUUAUGUUAGAACGUUCAUAGAUAUAUCAGGCCUAACUUAGCAUCACAACUAGAACUCAGUAUUGUAAAUGGUUUACGUCAUUUCCACAUUUAGUGGAGACUUAAGCAUUCAUCCAGAUCAUAAAUUUUUUUCUCCCUCCUUUUUUUUUUUUGGUAUGUUUACAGUCUGGAAGGUAUUGAAAUAUCUAAAGAAUAAUGAAAAACUAGAAUUGGGUGAGGCCAACACUCUCAUGGUCAUUUCUUUCCUGUGUUAUUACUUUCUGUGAUACCAUCCAGCACAAAAUAGUAUUUAUCUAUUUUUAAUGACAUCCAGGGGAUAAGAUUCCUCUUGGCCACUUGGACCAAUGCUUAGGAGACUUCUCUGAAAAGAAGUAUUUCAUAUGUAGCGUGAAUCAUUUGUGUUGCUCUUUGAGUUCUUGUGAAUAAAUUCGGAAUUAGUUGAGCACCUGCUAUGUGCAGUACCCAGGGUGAGGGCCAUGAAAGGCAAAACAAUAUUUACAAAGUGUCUCUAUCCUUAUUAAAUAUAAGUAAGAAGGAAAAUAUAUAAAUAUUCAAGUAGUUAAUUAAAAUACAAGGAAUAUGAUAAAUAUUAAUUUGUUAACAAAGAAAAUAAGUGCAAUAUGAGACUCUAGAAACCAUAGACAACUGUGAGAUGGGGCGAUUAGGGAAAACUUCAAAGAGAACAUAACACUUACAUUGAACCUGGAAUUAUGGUUAGGGUUUGGGCUGAAAGAGAAAAAAUGAGAGUACACUCAAAGUGAAGAAAAUUGGGCAACAGUGCUGUGUGAUAGCAAAUCUCUACAUUGUGCUCAAAAACAAAGGGCAGACAACACCAAUGUGGCAGAGGAUUUGAGUGGGCAUGCACCAGGGCCUAAGACAGGAAAGGCAGGAUGGGCAAGGCUUAUGAGAGGCAAUAAAUGCAGGUUAGGUUGUUUUGAGUAUUACUAGGAAAUCACUGGGUGUGGUUAAGGGGAAAAGUAACAUGGUGUAAGUAUUUUAUGAAAAUUAAUCUGGCUAUAAAGUACUGCCUGGUUUGGAAAGGAGAAGAUUCCUUUUAUGUUGCCUUUAGUAUGUCCAGAGAAGGAUUUGAAUAAAGCAGAGCUAUAUGAGAAUAAAAGAAUAAGUACAUUUACUAUAGUUUACUUUUAUAAAGCAGAUAAGGUAAUGCUAAUAUUAUUAAUUGUAUUAUUAAGUAAUUACAUUAAUUGUAAUAUUUAGUGAGAAUGUUAAAUGUUGUCGAGUAUCCGUGAAUUUUUACCUAAAAAAUUUAUGUGGCCCUAGUUAUGAUAUUUUAGUAAUCAUACAGUUAUAUCUUCUAACAGCCUAGUAGUCAAUCUGGAUGAACCGUACUGGGUACCCAGGAGAAAGCACACAGAAUUUAAAAGUCUGUCAUUGACUUGAAUUUAUUAGCUCUUCUUUGUUCAUAAGAAAUGGAAACAUUCUAUAAAAACCUAUUUUUUAUUAAUAAAAAUUAAUAAUGCCUCUGUAGAGGCAUUUAACUCUACGUUUCACUCUGGCUAUGGGCUUAUUUCAACUUUCUUUAUAAUAAAGUGGAGGUACAUCUUUAUCUUUUUUUGUGUGAAAGAUUUAUGUAACUCAGGCACCAAAAUAUCUAGAGCACCUGCAUGACUAGAAACUUUAUAGUGCUAAUUGGCAAUAUGGUACACAGCCAGAUAAGCACAUCAGAUGAAACUCUUAAAAACAAAUAUUGAGGCUGGCAAGAUGGCCAAAUAGGAACAGCUUCAGUCUGCAGCUCCCAGCAAGAUCAACUAAGAAGGUGGGUGGUAUUUGCAUUUCCAACUGAGGUACCUGGUUCAUCUCAUUGGGACUGGUUAGGCAGUGGGUGCAGCCCACGGAGGGUGAACUGAAGCAAGGUGGGGUGUCGCCUCACCUGGGAAGUGUAAGGGGUCAGGGAACUCUCUCCUCUAGCCAAGGGAAGCCUUGAGAGACUGUGCUGUGAGGAAUAAUGCAUUCCAGCCCAGAUACUAUGCCUUUCCCAUGGUCUUUGCAACCCGCAGACCAGGAGAUUCCUUGAGGUGCCUACACCACCAGAGCCCUGGGUUUCAAGCACAGAACUGGGCAGUCGUUUGGGCAGACACUGAACUAGCUGCAAAAGUUUUUUCCAUACCCCAGUAGUGCCUGGAAUACCAGUGAGACAGAACCGCCCGCUCCCCUGGAAAGGGGGCUGAAGCCAGAGAACCAAGUGGUCUAGCUCAGCGGAUCCCACCCCCACAGAGCCCAGCAAGCUAAGAUCCACUGGCUUGAAAUUCUUGCUGCCAGCACAACAGUCUGAAGUCAACCUGGGACACUCAAGCUUGGUGAGGGGAGGAGCAUCCACCAUUACUGAGGCUUGAAUAGGUGAUUUUCCCCUCAAAAUGCUGCUGGGAAGUUAAAACUGGGCGGAGCCUACCACAGCUUGGCAAAGCCACUGUGGCCAGACUUCCUUUCUAGAUUCCUCCUCUCUGGGAAGGGCAUCUCUGAAAGAAAGGCAGCAGCCCCAGUCAGGGGCUUAUAGAUAAAACUCCCAUCUCCCUGGGACAGAGCACCUGGGGGAAGGGGUGGCUGUGGGCACAGCUUCAGCCAACUUAAACGGUCCUGCCUGCCGGCCCUGAAGAGAGCAGUGGAUCUCCCAGCACAGUGCUCCAGCUCUGCUAAGGGACGGGGUGUCUCCUCAAGUGAGUCCCUAACUCCUGUGACUCCUGACUGGGAGACACCUCUCAGCAAGAGUCGACAGACACUUCACACAGGAGAGCUCCAGCUGGCAUCUGGCAGGUGCCCCUCUGGGAUGAAGCUUCCAGAGAAAGGAACAGGCAGCAAUCUUUGCUGUUCUGCAGCCUCUGCCGGUGAUAUCCAGGGAAACAGGGUCCGAAGUGGACCUCCAGCAAACUCCAGCAGACCUGCAUAACAGGGUAGAAUGGCGAUAACUAAAAAGUCAGGAAACAACAGGUGCUGGAGAGGAUGUGGAGAAAUAGGAACACUUUUACACUGUUGGUUGGACUGUAAACUAGUUCAACCAUUGUAGAAGACAGUGUGGUGAUUCCUCAAGGAUCUAGAACAUAGAAAUGCCAUUUGACCCAACCAUCCCAUUACUGGGUAUAUACCCAAAGGAUUAUAAAUCAUGCUACUAUAAAGACACAUGCACAUGUACGUUUAUUGCGGCACUAUUCACAAUAGCAAAGACUUGGAACCAACCCAAAUGUCCAUCAAUGAUAGACUGGAUUAAGAAAAUGUUGCACAUAUACACCAUGGAAUACUAUGCAGCCAUAAAAAAGGAUGAGUUCUUGUACUUUGUAGGGACAUGGAUGAAGCUGGAAACCAUCAUUCUCAGCAAACUAUCGCAAGGACAAAAAACCAAACACCACAGGUUCUCUCACUCAUAGGUGGGAAUUGAAAAAUGACAACACAUGGACACAGGAAGGGGAACAUCACAC
rnacentral:lncRNA from 1 species